rnacentral:rRNA from 1 species
GAUGAACGCUGGCGGCGUGCCUAAUACAUGCAAGUCGAGCGAACAGACGAGGAGCUUGCUCCUCUGACGUUAGCGGCGGACGGGUGAGUAACACUUGGAUAACCUACCUAUAAGACUGGGAUAACUUCGGGAAACCGGAGCUAGUACCGGAUAAUAUAUUGAACCGCAUGGUUCAAUAGUGAAAGACGGUUUUGCUGGCACUUAUAGAUGGUUCCCCGCCGCAUUAGCUAGUUGGUAAGGUAACGGCUUACCAAGGCACCGAUGCGUAGCCGACCUGAGAGGGUGGUCGGCCACACUGGAACUGAGACGGGGUCCAGGGUACUGCGGGAGGCAGCAGUAGGGAAUCUGCCGCAAUGGGCGAAAGCCUGACGGAGCAACGCGGCGUGAGUUAUGAAGGUCUUCGGAUCGUAAAACUCUGUUAUUAGGGAAGAACAAAUGUGUAAGUAACUAUGCACGUAUUGACGGUACCUAAUCAGAAAGCCACGGCUAACUACGUG